rnacentral:rRNA from 1 species
GACGAACGCUGGCGGCGUGCUUAACACAUGCAAGUCGAACGGAAAGGCCCUGCUUUUGUGGGGUGCUCGAGUGGCGAACGGGUGAGUAACACGUGAGUAACCUGCCCUUGACUUUGGGAUAACUUCAGGAAACUGGGGCUAAUACCGGAUAGGAGCUCCUGCUGCAUGGUGGGGGUUGGAAAGUUCGGCGGGUGGGGAUGGAACCGCGGCUUAUCAGCUUGGUGGUGGGGUAGUGGCUUACCAAGGCUUUGACGGGUAGCCGGCCUGAGAGGGUGACCGGCCACAUUGGGACUGAGAUACGGCCCAGACUCCUACGGGAGGCAGCAGUGGGGAAUAUUGCACAAUGGGCGGAAGCCUGAUGCAGCAACGCCGCGUGCGGGAUGACGGCCUUCGGGUUGUAAACCGCUUUCGCCUGUGACGAAGCGUGAGUGACGGUAAUGGGUAAAGAAGCACCGGCUAACUACAUG